rnacentral:tRNA from 1 species
GGGCAUUUGGUCUAGUGGUAUGAUUCUCGUUUAGGGUGCGAGAGGUCCUGAGUUCAAUUCUCGGAAUGCCCC